rnacentral:rRNA from 1 species
CCUACGGGGGGCAGCAGUGAGGAAUAUUGGUCAAUGGACGAGAGUCUGAACCAGCCAAGUAGCGUGAAGGAUGACUGCCCUAUGGGUUGUAAACUUCUUUUAUAUGGGAAUAAAACAGGGUAUGCAUACCAUCUUGUAUGUACCAUAUGAAUAAGGAUCGGCUAACUCCGUGCCAGCAGCCGCGGUAAUACGGAGGAUCCGAGCGUUAUCCGGAUUUAUUGGGUUUAAAGGGAGCGUAGGUGGAUUGUUAAGUCAGUUGUGAAAGUUUGCGGCUCAACCGUAAAAUUGCAGUUGAAACUGGCAGUCUUGAGUACAGUAGAGGUGGGCGGAAUUCGUGGUGUAGCGGUGAAAUGCUUAGAUAUCACGAAGAACUCCGAUUGCGAAGGCAGUUCACUGGACUGCAACUGACACUGAUGCUCGAAAGUGUGGGUAUCAAACAGGAUUAGAUACCCGAGUAGUC